rnacentral:lncRNA from 1 species
UGCGCGGGCCAAUCUUGACUCGCGUUCAAGUAACGGUCACAAGCGGGGAGCGCAGGCGAUUGGUUGAAACUUCGAACUGCUGCCGUUUGAAAACUGCUAGACGUUCCACGUUCGCGUUCGGAGAGAUUCGUCGCGGUUUUUUUCGAAGAAUAACGCGGAGCUGAUGACGCGAGGGUGUUCGGUACAUCAGCAUGUGGGCAAUUUUGACGAGUGCGGGAAAUUGGAGGGGGAGGCAGUCUCGUAUCCCGCUUUUACUAUAGAGAUCGCUUCCCCCUUCCCUUUGUCCCUGCCUCCCUGGACCAGGAUCACCGUCAGACGCUUCUUUUCCUCCGAAGGAAUACCAUCUCCUUAUGGUCCUCGCUUUUACGACGCGGCCAAGGUACGGUGUGAUACGAGAUGUCUCUACCCUGAUUCCGACAUGCAGUCGGUGCACUUCGCGCCCUAACGCAGCUCGAGGCGUCGACAUGGAAGGGAUUUCUUGUGAGAACUCUUCUCGGAAACGUCUGUAGUUACGCAGAGGAAGCGAGGAUCUUUCCGUAACCGGAGAAACACGUAAGAAGGAUACCGACGUGCACGGUGGGCAUGCAGGAGCUGAAAGGAAACUGGAUAACGCGGGACCAGAGGCGUAAAACUCGGACCUCGUGAAGGUGAGAGAAUCCGCCUGAAGAGAGAAAUGAAAUUUAGUUGUAUAUGUUACAGGGAGCGUUUUCUCAGGUUUUUGUAAACCACGCGUAUAUACGUGUAGGGGUGAAUGCUGUGCGUGUGUUACAGAAAGCGUGGAAGGUACGAAGGCAGUGGUGGAAUGGUACGCAGCUGGGCUGAAUGUAGGAUUGAAAUAUCGACGAACGCACCGUGACUUGGGAGGCAUUGAAACGAGUGACGACCGAGAAACGCGAGUUACCUUCGGCCAACAAUGAUAAACUCACGAUCACCGUCAGAUCUACCAAAUUCAAAAUUAUUUCGAUAAGGUAAUCGAGCAUCGAUCGGCUAUGCAAUAAUUAACGGUCACGCGGAAACACCGCGAUAUCUUAGGGAUUCAACUACAUGUUUUAUUAUAAUACGUGUGUAUGUAAGGAUUUUAUGUCUGCAAUAAAACAUCAAGAGUUUACAAGUGCGGCUAAUUUAUUAUCUAGUUGAAAACUACAAGCCGCGGUACAUUGGCCAUUAAACAUGAAUUAUAAAGGUAAUAGAUAGUUGUGUCGUUAAAUUCUCUUUCAAUAAAUCAAUCAAUUUUUAAAGUUUAUUUUUUAUUCCCACUUUAAUGAAAUUUUUCUGGAAAAUUCUCUGUGCCUAUAAGAAGAUGAACUACCACUAUUUUGCCAAAGUUUAUUUAAAUAAUUGGCGUCAUGUAAUAUGUCAAAAGU